UUCCUCACUGCUCAGGUAUGGGCGCUGCACUCCCGACGGCUCCCAGCCAGGCGGCCCCACCCGGGAGACAGCCCUCCCCCAGGGCAGGAGAACGCCCUGCUUGGGGACCAGGGAAGGAGAGCAGAAGCGCGGGAAAUCACUGCCACUCCUGUAUUUAUUUUUCCCUAGAAUGCUCACACACACACACACACAAACACCAAAAACAAAGUACCUGUUUGGCAGUAAGGGCCGGAUUGGACAGUGAGCUCUGAUGCCCCCCUCGGCUCCUACAACAAUAAGGGGAGUUUUACCUUAAGCACAAGCAACACAGAGCAGAGGAGCUGUUCCUGAAGAGAAUACUGGCAACAUUUGCCCCAGGGCAUUUGAGAAGAAGUGUUUGAAAUUUGGUACCUUCCUAAACAGUGGCCUCCCGUGAUCCUGUGGAGAUGAAGGCAGACAGUAAGAACCAGCUGAGCUGCACAUGGGACGACAGACACACAGCUUCCCACACAGGGGGACGGACAGGCCGGGAUGUAUGCGGCGUCACGCCACACGUCAGGGCUGGCAGGUCAGGCUUGGCCAGGCUGCGCUCGGACGCCUCUGGCGGCAACGGCGAACUGGGACUCCGCACUACGUGGUUCUGGGACUGUGCUGACGUCUAACCCACUGGUCCUCGGAUGGCUCUGGGGCUCAGUUCCUCUUCCCCAGGACAGCAGCUUGACCCUCCAGCGCAUCCUCCAGAAACCCUCCUGGCCCCCAGCCCUCACUGCUCAGGGCUGUGUGCACCGCGGCUCUGAAAUAGCCGGAACCGACCUCGUCUGUUUAUCUCCCUGACAUGUUGAGUCAGAUGCGGAGGACAUCUCUGGGUGUGGGUAACAGCACAGGGCAGGGUGAGGCCCCCCACCUCCCUGCUGUGCUGAUACUCUCCCGCCACGGCAGCCGGGUCAACCAACCACAUGUGCACGUCACAGCCGCGGAUGCCAGCGACCUGCACCGUGCUUGCGAUUACAAGCCAGACCCCACCCUCCUCACUGGUGCCCGGAGAUUUCUGGAUCUGCCCUAAGGAGCUGUCUGCUGCCCCAGCCCUUCAGUCUAUGGAAACAUCCUUGGAAAAGCUGAGAAACAUUAGCAUGGAUGCAAAUUUCCAGAGGCCUUCACCACCCUCCCAGCAGAAUGCAGAGUUUCGUGGGAGAAGACUUGGCUGAAGAAGGGAAGGCCUCACUGAAUCUUGAGAUGCAUGAUCGGGAGAGGGUGGCGCCAGGCAGGGGCAAGGGGAGGAAGCAGCGGGAAGAGUGAUGCCAGGUGGCCUGCGAGCUCUGCCUGUGAAGAGGCAUCCCCGCAGAAGGGCUUGGCCACCUGCACUCGGUUUGCUCCUGGGCAGCGGCACAGCGAGGGAGGCAGGCAGAGCCAGACACUGUCAGAGGCCUGGGGCAGGGGCCUGGGCCAGCAGUCCCAGCUUCUGCAGCACGUUGGCCGGAGGCCCCUAGUCAUUAGCCAACGGCACUGCUGAGGAUGGUGCUAAUUCCAACAUGCUGCUUCUACCCGAAGACUGACCUCAGCUCUUCGGCUCCUGAGCACCACACUGCUGCCGGUGGCCCUGAGCCCUGCAGCCCUCCCCAAGGACCAGCUGGCAAGUCGAACUCCCUCACCCUGUCCCUGUGAGCCUGGCGUUUGUAUCCAGGUCAGGUUGGGCCUAUCGCUCUAGCCUGCUGAACUAUUGUGGGGGACUCUUUGCCAUGCAAUAUAGUUGGUAUCCACCCCUUUCCAACGGGUAUCAGAUACAGUGACCCUGUUUCCUUGUCUCCGUCAGGUGCUCAGGAGCCUUGGAUCUGAGGCGUUGGGGUGGAACCCAGGUGCCCCUAGAGACCUCCUUGGGGUUUCCUCCUGCUGGGAUCACUGCCCCAGGAGAGGGAGGCUCCCUGCCUCUGCACCUGCCUCCCCAUGGGUGCGCCGAACGAGCGGCACUUGGCCUAGGACGCUGGUGUCCGGCUUCUCACCGACACACUGUCUGGAAAUACUUCAUGUAGUGUUUUUGUCAAAUGCCUGUAUCAUGACCAGAGACUCGAUGUCCAUCAGACUCAGUACCUGGAGAGGACAUGGGAGUAUCUUUACUCUGUAAACCGCAGGCUCCACCGGGCAAGCGGCAACUCCUCCCAGUGUUCAGAAACAGUGUUAAGUGAUCAUUCUAAACACUGUCCUCAAUUUGCAGCAAGUUCAUGCAAGUGGCUGUGAGAUCCAGCUCCUGCUUUCUGACACGGGGUAGAUGAGUGAUGCUGAUGCAUCUCAGGCGCUCAUGGCUCCUUUGGGCUGGGAUCCCAAGUAGGCGGAGAUCAGCUGUCCCAUCGGCGUGUUUCCGGGAGCCCAACCUUCAUGUAACACUGUCCACCGUUCCACACCAGACCUGGUUCCCUCCCAGGAAGGCUCACCUGGCCACCUCAGACUCCAGACAGCAGCCACCUCCCACCAGACCAAGGUGAAGCCACCCUCUCAUCUGCCUCUCUGGCUGGUGCCACUCACUCAGCUCCCAUAGGCACUGCUUGAGGCCACCUGCCUUUGACUGCCACGCUGAAAGAACGGGUUGUCCCGUGAGACGGGGCUGCGCAGGAGGACUGCACCGCAUGGCCCCGAUGAGCUCCUCUAAGCCCAGGGCUUCAAGCAGGGAGGCUGGCCGGGCUUGCCGUGAGGCCGUGGUGUGCCGCCGGCCCACCCACCAGCUAGUCACUCAGAGGUCAUUCAGUAGUCCUGGGGCCAUGACUGUCUGCAGCCCCGUGGACACUGUCAAGUCAUUCACACGGCAGCCAGGCCUGGUACCUGAGUACCAGAGGUUCUGCAGGAGACCGUGGUGUGAGAGGGGCCUGGGGCUUGCAGGGAGACCCCUGGGUUUCACUUCUGGGUCUACCAAGUCUUAGGGCCACCGUGGGCCACCACACCACUUGCUGCCAAGUGAGGACAUGACAUCCCACUGCCACAUUCAUGCAGGAGCACCAGGAUGGGGCAUGCAGGCACAGGGCCCCGGGGGUCCCUGGUCUUACAGAGCAGAGCCGCGGGGGGCAGCCACGCUUUCCCAGCCGCAGUGCCAGGGCGCAGACACAGUCCUGAUGCUGGUCCUGGUGGCUUCGGGGAGGUUCCCGGGAGGAGCGCUCAGCCCUGGCUCGUCUUGUGUCAGUUUCGGGAACAGAGGCACACAGCUCACACACUGACGGUUAGCCACACAGCAUAAUUACAGGGUGUUUAGUUACAUCGAUUCUAAGCCACGUUCUUGAUCAAGAUGCGUGCUCACUGCCUGCAGAAGGCUAACGGAGCCACAGCCGGGCUCUCCAGACAUCCCAGCCCCCUAGGUUUGGGCUUAGCACUGUGACCACCAAGGAGCAUAUGGGCCUGGGUGUGUUCUUAUGCUUUAAGCAGCCAUGAAAGUCAGGUAUGUCACCUACCUCCACAAGUGAAACUCACUGCACGGUGCAGAGAAGUCCGACGUGGGACACCUGCCUUAUGCUGCUUACUCCCUGUGGCACUGGCAGGGUCUCCAUGGUACACUCGGUAUGUGGGAACAGAGCUCUGAUCUGCAGACCCACCUUCUGGAAGCCUCAUUACCAUGAACACGUGGUGCAGACAGUGCUGCCCGGGGAAAUCUACUGACCACGUAAAUGCAGAAUCACAGUCAACAACACAUACUCAAAUUUUUAGAGAACUCUGGGAACAAUGCAGCUGAUAAACAGCAUCCUAUACGUAUUAGACUCUUCCUUCUGAAAUCGUUUGAAGGCUUUUUGGAUGAAGGCGUGUGAUGGGUCCAGAGUGAGAGAACUGGUUGCCCUGUUUGCUGUUUAAUACCAAAUACCUAGAUUGUGACAUCAUAGCUGGUUUAAUAGAUGCCUUUUGUUUUUAUGACAUGAAGAUUACUGCCAUAUGUUUGGGAAACUUUUUGAUAAAAUAUCAAAACCAAA